rnacentral:lncRNA from 10 species
AUGGGUUUUCACCAUGUUGACCAGGAUGAUCUCAAACUCCUGACCUCGUGAUCCACCUGCCUCGGCCUCCCAAAGUGCUGGGAUUAUAGGCAUAAGCCAACGCGCCCGGCUUCUGGAUACAGAUCCUGAAGAUAAUAGUGAGUGGUAGCUGGGUAGUCCCUUUUCCUCUUUAGACGGGGACACUUUCACAUUUCUCUGCACUGCACUGACCUUGCAGCAUGUACUUAUAUUGACAUCACAAUGAAGAUGUUUUGCUUGAGCAGAGAGGAAAAGUAACUCUGCUGUUGAUACUCUGAUUCCUUUGCUUUUACCAUCUUUGUCCUAUUCAGAAUUUACCCAUCUCUUUAUACCAGGCCCUGUUAUUAUACACUUAACUAAAUACAAGUCACAUCUGAUUAUAGUAAGA